UGCAUCUUUAGUUGGAACCUUAACUUAGUCCUCUCCAUCGCACCGCCUUUCUGUUCAAUGGGGAUGUCUUCUUUUCUGAUUAUCUUUUUUUAUUUACAGCUUAACUUGGCAAGUACUACACUAUUCUAUAUAUUCCCCACUAUCCUCAAAGUAUAAUCUAUAUAACUCUAGUAUAAUCCAUUACCUUUUCUUCCCACAGAUUUUUGCAUCUUUAGUUGGAACCUUAACUUAGUCCUCUCCAUCGCACCGCCUUUCUGUUCAAUGGGGAUGUCUUCUUUUCUGAUUAUCUUUUUUUAUUUACAGCUUAACUUGGCAAGUACUACACUAUUCUAUAUAUUCCCCACUAUCCUCAAAGUAUAAUCUAUAUAACUCUAGUAUAAUCCAUUACCUUUUCUUCCCACAGAUUUUUGCAUCUUUAGUUGGAACCUUAACUUAGACCUCUCCAUCGCAAUGCCUUUGCUCUUUCUGUUCAAUGGGGAUGUCUUCUUUUCUGAUUAUCUCUUUUAUUUUAUAAUUUAACUUGGCAAAUGUUCUUCUUAUUUGAUGUCCUGAUUCCAAUUACCCUGGUCCUUUAUGCGUAUUUUUGCAUAGAUUACCUUAACUCGCGGGGUGGGAGUUCUACAGAGGAGUACCUGACACUGAGGAGUAUUCGGUUUAUGAUGCGGGUACUGAGCUGAUUACUUUUUUCUUUUUAUUUAUUUAUUUUUUUGAGCUACUGUGGUCUCUUGUAAGCUUUGAUACAAAAUUCGAAGAGGAUGGCUGUGGUUCUGAUAUUACUUUCAAAUCCUUGAAGAUGAAACCCUGAACUCCAUCGACUUCAAAUGUAUUUCCUUAUAACUUUGUAACGAAAAUGAGCUCUCCUUUUAAUUAAAAAAAACAAACUUUAAAUUCAAUUCCAAGUCUAAUUC